GGGAGAAAGACCUUGUGACCUGCUCCUGUAAAGAUUACUGCCUAGAAGACCCUAUGGAGUUGCCAGGAGUCAAGAUCAACUCAGUAGCACCCAACAACAACAAUGAUCCUAGGAGCUACAAAGCUGAUUUGGUCUCUCAUCAUUCCAUAGUGAGACAGAUUUGCUGUCUCAGGGUUCUGCCCUUUCCAGGAAAAGACAUUGAGAGGAAGUAAGGAGUAGCUGUUUCAGCACUGACAGAAUGUGGAGGUAAUACAUGUAAGGCAUCCAGAAUAGUGAGUGAUGAUAUUGUCAUCAUCAUUAAUGUCAACUUCCAGGAAUACAUGUUGAGUGAGGCAUCACAACUCAGAAAGCCAGUAUUGCAUAUUAAAGGUGGUGUGAUUUAUGCUAGGUCCCUGAGUGGUGCAAAUGAUUUGCUUUCGGUACUAACCUAAAGAUUGGCAGUUCGACGAAGAAGUUUCCGGGAUAAACUGAAUGCUUCAAAGGUCAGCGGAGCAAGGGCGGGGGUUUGGAGACUAUGGCUUAAGGGGACUUCUAAGUCAAUUGGCAAAAUAAUUCUAUUAUGAAAACAUUCUGCAUCCCAGUUUGAAAUGUGGCAUCUGGGGUCUUAAAUGCUAACAAGCGGCCAUCUAAGAUGCAUCAAUUGGUCUCAACCCACCUGGAUCAAGGGAGAAUGAAGAACACCGAGGUCAAACGUUAACUAUGAGCCCAAGAGGCAGAAAGGGCCACAUGAACCAGAGACUUACAUCAUCCUGAGACCAGAAGAACUAGAUGGUGCCCGGCCACAACUGAUGACUGCCCUGACAGGGAGCACAACAGAGAACCCCUGAGGGAACAGGAGAUCAGUGGGAUGCAGACCCCAAAUUCUCAUAAAAAGACCAGACUUAAUGGUCUGACUGAGACUAGAGGAAUCCCGGCGGUCAUGGUCCCCAAACCUUCUGUUGGCCCAGGACAAGAACCAUUCCCGAAGACAAUUCAUCAGACGUGGAAGGGACUGGACAAUGGGUAGGAGAGAGAUGCUGAUGAAGAGUGAGCUACUUGUAUCAGGUGGGCAAUUGAGACUGUGCUGGCAUCUCCUGUCUGGAGAGGAGCUAGGAGGGUAGAGAGGGUUAGAAACUGGCAAAAUUGUCACGAAAGGAGAAACUGGAAGGGCUGACUCAUUAGGGGAAGAGUAGAUGGGAGUAUGGAGUAAAGGGUAUAUAAGCUUAUAUGUGACAGACUAACUUGAUUUGUAAAUGUUCACUUAAAACUCAAUACAAAUUAUUAAAAAUAAAAAAAAAGAUUGGCAGUUCGAAACCCAUCCAGCAGCAUCACAGAAAAAAGAUCUGGCAGUCUGUUUCUAUAAAAAUUAAAGCCAAAUGAUACUGAGUGGAAUUAGUCAGUCACAAAAGGGACAAAUAUUGUAUGAGACCACUAUUAUAAGAACUCAAGAAAAAGUUUAAAUACAGAAGAAAAUAUUCUUUGAUGGUUACGAGUGUGCGGAUGGAGGGAGGAGGGGUAUUCACUAUUUAGAUUAAAAAAAUAGUAGAUAAGAAUUAUUUUAGGUGAAGGGAAGGUCAACACAAUACAGGGGAAGUCCGCACAACUGGACUAAACCAAAAGCUAAGAAGUUUCCUGAAUACAACCAGACAUUUCAAGGGACAGAGUAACAGGAGCAGGUGUCUGGGGACCAUGGUUUCAGGGGACAUCUAGGUCAACUGGCAUAACAAAGUACAUUAAGAAAACAUUCUGCAUCCCACUUUGGUGAGUGGUGUCUGGGGUCUUAAAAGGUAGCAAGCGGCCAUCUAAGAUGAAUCAAUUGGUCUCAACCCACCUGGAGCAAAGGAGAAUGAAGGACACCAAAGACACAAGGAAAAUAAGAGCCCAAGAGACAGAAAGGGCCACAUAAGCCAGAGACUCCAUCAGCCUGAGACCGGAAGAACUAGAUGGUGCCGCUACCACUGAUCACUACCGUGACAGGGAACACAACAGAGAAUCCCUGAUGGAGCAGGAGAAAAGUGGGAUGCAGAACUCAAAUUCUAGUAUAAAGAGCAGACUUAAUGGUCUGACUGAAACUGGUGGGACCCCAGAGGAAAUGGCCACUGGACUCUAUGUUAGCCCAAAACUAAAACCGUUCCCAAAGCCAACUUUUCAGACAAAGAUUAGACUGGACUACCAGACAUAAAAUGAGGAUUGUGCUUCUUAGCUCAAGUAGACACAUGAGAUUAUGUGGGCUACUCCUGUCCAGAGGUGAGAUGAGAAGGCAGAGGGGGACAGAAGCUGGUUGAAUGGACACAGGAAAUACAGGGUGGAGAGGAGAAGUGUGCUGUCACGUUAUAGGGAGAACAACAAGGGUCACGUAACAAUGUGUGUUUAAGUUUUUGGAUGAGAAACUGACUUGAAUUGUAAACUUUAAAAGCACAAUUAAAAAAAAAAAGUUAAAGCCAAGAAAACCCUAUGGAAUACUGUGUAAUGUAUAGGGUCACACCAUAAGCUGGUAUCAACUUGAUGGCAACAGAUUUGUUUUUUUUGUUUUGGGGCUUUUUUUUGGUUUUUUUUUGUUUUGUUUUUUUGAUGAUUUACACUGUGCACUCAUGUUUAUAAGGAGGUGGGGUGUGGAUAAGAGGGAUGGCUGCAGAUUGGAGGUGUUUUCUUUGAUGGUUCCUUAUUUCUCCUCAGUUCUGCCUUCACAGAAUUGUGUUCUUCAAGACAGAAGCCCGGUGAAGGAAGUUUUGACAAUUGGACUUCUGGAAGGCACAUCACAGCCGUCAGGGACAAUCUGAGAUGUGGCCAUUGACUUCUGCCAGGAAGAGUGGGGCUGUCUAAACCCUGCUCAGAUGGAUUUGUAUGAGGCUGUAAUGUUGGAGAACUAUCAGAACCUGGUCUAACUGGAUAGCAAAUCAAGGUAAGAAAGCAAGAAAAUACUUCUAAAGAAGAGAGUUAAAGAAGAAACAUUCCAAUGUGAAAUAGUGAUGAAGAAAGCAAGCAACACUUUUCAUGAUUAUGGAAAAACUCACUGCACUGAUACAUACCUCACUCUUCCUCAGAAAAUUCUUAAAGACGAGGUGCUGCCAGUGUCAUGAGUGUGGGAAAUACUUUAAAUGUCCCUCAGCUGUCGUUCAGCAUCAGAGAAUUCACAUUGGGGAGAGACCCUAUAAGGGUAACGAAUGUAGUAAAUCCUUCAGUCAGAGGACACACCUCAAACAGCAUGAGAGAAUUCACACAUGUGAGAAACCCUAUGAACAUAAAUAAUGUAGGAAAACCCUCAGCCAGAUGACACAUCUUACUCGGCAUCACAGUACUCACACUAAAGAAAAGUUCCAUGAAAGCAGCAAAUGUGGAAAGACCUUCAGCCAUUCCUACUCCUUCGUUGAUUACCAGAGAAUUCAUACUGGAGAGAAACCCUAUGAGUGUAAAGAAUGUGGCGGAGCCUUCACACCAAAUGCGUAGCUUAUUAAAAAAAAAAUAGCUUAUUAGGCAUCAGAAAAUUCAUUCUAGAGAAAAACCCACGAAUAAUAAUUUCUUUUAGGCGUCCCUUCCCUGAUUGAAAAUAAGAGAAUUCACACUGGAGAAAAACUAUUCAAUGUAAGGACUGUGGGAGGAUAUUUACCUGAGGCUUGCAGCUUUCCCUUCCCAAGAAGGAGAAAGACCCUAUGAAUACCACUAUGUGGUAAAGCCUUCAGUACAUGUUCUCAUAAGAGAACAUACAGUAGAGAGAAACGCGUUGAAUGCCUUGCAUCUGGGAAGGCCUUUAACACGUCUUCAUCACUUUGUCAGCGUAAGAGGAUUCAUACUGGUGAAAAACCCUUUGAUUACAAUAAAUGUGGGAAGUCCUUUCGAUGGGAAGUCCUUACUCAACAUGAGCAAACUCAUACUGGAGGAUAUUAACAAAGGCUAAGUGAACUUCAAAAUGUUAAUAUUCUAAAUAGUUCACUGUCCAGUUCUUGGUAACAAGUAUAAAUAAACUCUGUAUUAGAGAACAAUUUAUUCACCAUGUCUGAAGCGUUUACUGAAAAAAUGGGAUGGCAGUGAAUCCAUUUUUUAAUUUGAAAAUGGAGAGAAACCAAGUGUCUUAGGCUGGGUUUU